CCCUUAGAUGUCCUGGGCCGCACGCGCGUUACACUGAUGCAUUCAACGAGCUUAUAACCUUGGCCGAGAGGCCUGGGCAAUCUUGUUAACGUGCAUCGUGAUAGGGAUAGAUUAUUGAAAUUAUUAAUCUUGAACGAGGAAUUCCUAGUAAACGCAGAUCAUCAAUCUGCAUUGAUUACGUCCCUGCCCUUUGUACACACCGCCCGUCGCACCUACCGAUUGAACGGUUUAGUGAGGGCCUCGGAUUGGUCUCGGCCCGCUCUUUACCGGGCGGCGCCGUUGGUCGAGAAGACGCUCGAACUUGAUCGUUUAGAGGAAGUAAAAGUCGUAACA
rnacentral:rRNA from 1 species